GAUGAACGCUGGCGGCGUGCCUAACACAUGCAAGUCGAGCGAGAUAAAUGUGAGUGGAGACUUCGGUCAAAGCAAUCAUUUUGAAAGCGGCGGACGGGUGAGUAACGCGUGAGCAAUCUGCCCCAUACAAAGGGAUACCCACUGGAAACGGUGAUUAAUACCUUAUAAGACCACGAAGUCGCCUGGCUUAGUGGCCAAAGAUUUAUCGGUAUGGGAUGAGCUCGCGUCUGAUUAGCUAGUUGGUGAGGUAAUGGCUCACCAAGGCGACGAUCAGUAGCCGACCUGAGAGGGUGAACGGCCACACUGGAACUGAGACACGGUCCAGACUCCUACGGGAGGCAGCAGUGGGGAAUAUUGCACAAUGGGCGCAAGCCUGAUGCAGCAACGCCGCGUGAAUGAUGAAGGCCUUCGGGUCGUAAAGUUCUGUCCUAAGGGAAGAAUACAGUGACGGUACCUUAGGAGGAAGCCCCGGCUAACUCUGUGCCAGCCGCCGCCGUAACAC
rnacentral:rRNA from 1 species